rnacentral:rRNA from 1 species
AGAGUUUGAUCAUGGCUCAGGACGAACGCUGGCGGCGUGCUUAACACAUGCAAGUUGAACGGGAUUCGCUCUAUGAAGUGUAACAGCGAAUUAGGGUGAUGAGAGUAGCGGACGGGCGAGUAACGCGUGAGUAACCUGCCCUUUGCAGGGGGAUAACAUCGGGAAACCGGUGCUAAUACCGCAUAAGACCACAGUGCCCCAUGGCACAGCGGUCAAAGCUGAGGCGGCAAAGGAUGGACUCGCGUCCAAUUAGCUGGUUGGUGAGGUAACGGCCCACCAAGGCGACGAUUGGUAUCCGAACUGAGAGGUUGAUCGGACGCAUUGGGACUGAGACACGGCCCAGACUCCUACGGGAGGCAGCAGUGGGGAAUAUUGCGCAAUGGAGGAAACUCUGACGCAGCAACGCCGCGUGAAGGAUGAAGGCUUUCGGGUUGUAAACUUCUUUGAUCGGGGACGAAGAUGACGGUACCCGAGGAACAAGCCACGGCUAACUACGUGCCAGCAGCCGCGGUAAUACGUAGGUGGCAAGCGUUGUCCGGAAUUACUGGGUGUAAAGGGCGUGUAGGCGGGGCGGCAAGUCAGAUGUGAAAUUCCGUGGCUUAACUGCGGGGCUGCAUCUGAAACUGUUUCUCUUGAGUGUCGGAGAGGAAAGUGGAAUUCCCAGUGUAGCGGUGAAAUGCGUAGAGAUUGGGAGGAACACCAGUGGCGAAGGCGGCUUUCUGGACGAUAACUGACGCUGAGGCGCGAAAGCGUGGGUAGCAAACAGGAUUAGAUACCCUGGUAGUCCACGCUGUAAACGAUGGAUACUAGGUGUAGGAGGUAUCGACCCCUUCUGUGCCGCAGUUAACACAAUAAGUAUCCCACCUGGGGAGUACGGCCGCAAGGUUGAAACUUAAAUGAAUUGACGG